rnacentral:snoRNA from 1 species
UGACAGUGAUGAGCUCUUAAUCCCAAACUGAUCAUCUAUUGAUGAGACAACUUUUCGGAUCUGAUUGCUGAGUU